GAGUAAUGCGUGACCAACCUGCCCCAUGCUCCAGAAUAGCUCUUGGAAACGGGUGGUAAUGCUGGAUGCUCCAACUUGACGCAUGUCUUGUUGGGAAAGUGUUUAGUGGCAUGGGAUGGGGUCGCGUCCUAUCAGCUUGUAGGCGGGGUAAUGGCCCACCUAGGCUUCGACGGGUAGCCGGCCUGAGAGGGCGGACGGCCACAUUAGGACUGAGAUACGGCCCAGACUCCUACGGGAGGCAGCAGCC
rnacentral:rRNA from 1 species